rnacentral:rRNA from 1 species
AUGCUUAGGAAAAUGUUCCAAGGUGGUUCUUCAAGGAAGCAAGGACCCAGGCUUGCAAUGCGUGAUGCUGACGAUGAGCCACCAAGGGACGCUCCAGUGCGGCCUUGUGAAUGGCCUUCAGAAAACUUUAUGGAUCGAGCGGGAAUCAAGCAAGAAUUUAACGCGUAUUUGCGUAACGCUGAUCUUGUGAGCUUCGAGGAGGAAAAGUGCCGCCAGUACCACUAUCUCACUAGUUCCUUUGUAAGGAGGUUUGAAUUUUCAUCUUCACGUAAUUCUCCAACUGUCCUGUUUGAUCUCUAUGAAAAAUCUUAUACGAUGGGCUUAGAGGAUUUUACCACUGCUUGCAAACUUCCACAAUGGGGUAGUGCUAGUGAACCCCGCAAAUCUGAAUUUAGAGAUUUUCUUGCUAGUAUAACUGUGGGGGAAUCUAGAGAUAUAGCACAAGCUAACAUAGGGAGCAUUCAUUUUCCUGCUAUACAUUAUUUUGCUCUCUUCAUAGGUAGCAUAAAUGGUAAAGAUGAAGCAUGUCAUAUGUGUGUCCCUGACCUCAGUAUUCUUAGGAGUGCUGUGUUAGGAGACAAAUCUUAUAAUUUGGGAGCCAUUGUUGCGCGUAGGUUGCAUCACAAUAGAUUUAAUGGAGAUUUCUUUGGUGGAAUUUAUGCAACCCGCUUAGCUAAUUUUCUUGGUGUGGACAUAUGUGAGGAUGAUAUUGAGUUGCCACCUACUUAUUUAGACUUUAAUGCUAUGGUUCACCACCAGUUUGUCGAGAGGAAUGAAUCACCUCUCCGGUAUCGCUUAAUCUUUGACAGACGUCGUGCUGUCGUAUUACUCUCCCUGCUCCUACCUUCUUUGAUUAUCAGGCAAAAGGAAGACAUUUCAUUACCAGAGAGGAGGCAGAUGAGUACUAGAGGAGGGCGGAGGCAGCUCGCCGCCACGCUGCAGCCCAGGAGGCAAUAA